GGAAGCACGGUGCAAUGUCCCGGAUUAAGAAAGCGCAAAUGUGCCGACAGCGCGCCAAGUGCUACACAAAUGUUUACUUACAAUUAAAGCCUUUGUUCGAUUAAACACACAUGCAGAACAUAGACCCGGAAGCAAUUUACGACCCAGUGCAUUGGAAGAAAAACACGUGUAUAAACCAAACCCCUUUAUUUUGCCUCAGAUUACAGCAAAUUAUAAGGCAGAGACGAGGGAUUUCAAGGACGCGUGGACUUCAUUUUAAUCGAAGAGGCUGAGAGUGGAGUGGAAGAGUGACACACAGAGGAGAGAAGUUCAUUAUUCCGCUGAAAAGGAAACCAAUGGCUUUCACAGUCGCCAUGGUAACUGGCCUUUCUCUUGCCGUCAGACCAAUGAUAAGGUUUGGGCCUGAAAGACGUGCCAGACCUGCUGCCAAAGCAUCAGCCUCCACCUCACCCUGCAGACAUGGCUGAACACACACGCAUGCAUACACACAAACACGCACUCUCUCACAGGGCACAACUCUUAUACAUGUUUUCGAGCAUAUUUUAUUUCCUUGCGUUUCCAUACAUCCCGGCAAGCAUAUGUGUCAAGACAUCUUUAGCGUUCACACAUUCACAUUCUUGUUGUCUCUGCUACCUGUCUGUGACCCGGCCUCUCUCCGAUGAUGGAAUCGUCACACACUCUCAUGCCACAUGUCAGACAGAGACAAGAUCAAGCCACGUUCACACGGUCUUCCUUGAUGCAAACGUAAACACAUUCAUGCAUUCAGUUAGUCAGUUGUCUCUCAGGCAUGCCCUAUUUUUAAACUGUAAGCACACCUACACACAUUCUCCCAUGCACAGGCACACCCACUGCGGCCCAUGUCAUGGUAGGAGACUGUCCUUGUCUCGGAGAACACCCAGUGCAGUCGUAACACAAGGGAAAAUUAGUCAGGUGAAGUAAAUCUUGACACAUGACACUAGUCGUCUGUUUUUUAAGUUUUUUGCAUCACCACCCCCAUAUUUAAUAGAACAGCACCUACUGAUUAUUGCAUGCUCUGAGCUAGUCUGGUAAUUGCGCUGUACAUACCUGUCCAGGGUGUAAGCCCGUCCGCCGAACAUGGGGCCCCUCUGUUAGAUCGCUCGUGUUAUCAUCGUAAAUGAGAGUGGGAGCCUCCUAUCACCUCAUUCAGUAUCAGUCAUUGUCAGUGUGCAUCCACCAUUCUGUGUUCCCACAGUUGGAAGAAGUCUGUUCAAAAGAAGGUUUGAAAGGUGCAUGUGUUCAGAUUUUCACUCUGCGCUUCAGUCGACUUGUGUUUAUUAAGAGAGUUGAAUCUGACAAAACCAGUAAAUCGGCUGAGAAGCUUUGAGAAUCACCCUGUCAUAAGUUAAGUCAUGAUGUUCAUUUGGCAUGUGAAUCAGCACACAGUACCUAAACCUGCGGUAAUUAUCAUGACGUGAAUGAGUCAUACAUGUGAUUAGUUGUGGUGUUUUGUCUGCAACCACUAAAGCAUGGCAAAUAUAACAUCACACUCUUCUUCUGUAGUUAUUCCGGGUGGUUUGUCUUCACCAAUAUCAGCUUCUCUUUUAACUUUAAAUCAGAGACGCUGCUUAUCUCUUCAUCUCGUCAUUUUAUCAGUAACCAGUCAGGUCCUUUUGCUCGUCCUGCAGUUGCAAAACAGAUUUUCAACACCCACUCUUACUUCUUACGUGCGUGUGUAGCUGCUAAAUAUUUGGUCUGUGUGUGGCAACAUGACAUAUUUUACAUUUUUGUGUACUUUGUGAAUAAUUUGUUAUUGACAAGGUCUCGCCUGGUAAGAUGCUGAAUGUUCCAUCAUGAAACUUGGGGAAAGAAGAAUUGUUUAUAUAUUUAUUGUUAAAAAUAAGGGGUGAUAGCUUUAGAGAUAAUAAAGUCUCACAAAGAGAUCAGUCUGAUUUCUCAGUAUUUGUCUGCUCGUUCCAGGGAGAAGCAAACUGGAAUGAGGAGUGGCCACAGAAGUUUGUCACUCAAGCUCUGACUGAAAACACACUCAGUGCACAUUCAGCCAUUUUACAUUUGUAGGUAAAUAACAACAACAUACCAAUGCUAAAAAUGCCGGGUUUGAUUUGUUUGUUUUUAUUAUUACCUUUUUUUACUGCUGCGAUGUACUACUAUGCAUUUUUUAAUUCCAGCACUUUGCGUGCCUGACUCACAUCAGCCCAAAGGAACAGCAAAUGCAUUACGUAAAUUUAGCGCUCUUUGUUUAUCCGCGAUCAACAAACAAGUAUAAAGAAUAUAUAUGUAUAAUUAUAAUUAUUGCUUUGCUCUCUCACUCAAUCAAUAAA